GGGGCUGACAUUGGUUUCGAUUGUGGAAGAAACUGAUUGUAAGCGUGCCUGUGUGAUGGUCGAUUGAGCCACAGUAAGCGCUCGCGACUAGACAACAAAUGAGGAAGCAAACGCUCCCGUCGUCACAGAAGCAGAUUUCGCCAAGAUCGAGGCAUUCGCCAACAGCGAGGCAGCUGCGCUAGUCUGACGACUUCAGCUCUCCAAGGGGCAGGUUCUAGCCGAUACUGGAGAGAUUAUGAGAAUAGAACCAACAACCCUCACCGUCCCAUGGGUUACAAGGGACAAACGAUUCAUCGGAUCUUGUCGUUUCCGAAGAUGAACCGUACUUAGAAACGACUACGCACGUAGAAAUCACUCGGCGAGACUUACACAAGACUCGGGUUCGAUUCCCGACAGCUCCAC
rnacentral:tmRNA from 1 species